UACGGGGGGGGCAAGCGUUGUUCGGAAUUACUGGGCGUAAAGGGCUCGUAGGUGGCCAACUAAGUCAGACGUGAAAUCCCUCGGCUUAACCGGGGAACUGCGUCUGAUACUGGAUGGCUUGAGUUUGGGAGAGGGAUGCGGAAUUCCAGGUGUAGCGGUGAAAUGCGUAGAUAUCGAGAGGAACACCUGCGGCGAAGGCGGGUUGCUGGGCCGACACUGACGCUGAUGCGCGAAAGCCAGGGGAGCGAACGGG
rnacentral:rRNA from 1 species